rnacentral:rRNA from 1 species
AUUGAACGCUGGCGGCAUGCCUUACACAUGCAAGUCGAACGGCAGCACGGGGCAACCUGGUGGCGAGUGGCGAACGGGUGAGUAAUGCAUCGGAACGUGCCUUUCAGUGGGGGAUAACGUAGCGAAAGUUACGCUAAUACCGCAUAUUCUGUGAGCAGGAAAGCAGGGGAUCGCAAGACCUUGUGCUGAUUGAGCGGCCGAUGUCAGAUUAGCUAGUUGGUGAGGUAAAGGCUCACCAAGGCGACGAUCUGUAGCGGGUCUGAGAGGAUGAUCCGCCACACUGGAACUGAGACACGGUCCAGACUCUUACGGGAGGCAGCAGUGGGGAAUUUUGGACAAUGGGGGCAACCCUGAUCCAGCCAUGCCGCGUGAGUGAAGAAGGCCUUCGGGUUGUAAAGCUCUUUCGGCCGGGAAGAAAUCGCACGGGCUAAUACCCUGUGUGGAUGACGGUACCGGAAUAAGAAGCACCGGCUAACUACGUGCCAGCCGCCGCCGUAAGAC